rnacentral:lncRNA from 1 species
AUGAGCCCAUUUCCCCAGAAAUCAGCACAACCACUGUCAGCCAGGAACAAGUCCAGAGCAAGCCCUGGCCAGAGGCAAAGCGCUGGGGAAGAGAGGCAGCUUCAACUUCAGCUCCUGUUCCCAAGCCUCACUGAGCAGAGCGUCCCCGAGCCAAGCCGGGUCCUGAGGAUGGAGGUCCGGGCGCUGACAGCUGCUGCCCUGCUGCUGGCACAGCUCUCCCUGGCCCCAGCACACAUAGAAGCACUGGGGGACUGGGCAGCCCUCCCAGCAAGGCAGCUCGGAGCUGGGGGCCCCACAAACAACCCUCAGCCAGCUGCAGAUGGAGAGGACAACCAUGCAGAUGGCAACCAUCCCCAGGCUGCAGCGUGGGAAGCUCUGGCAGCGCACCACCGCAGCUCUGGGGGUCCGGGCAAGGCCACGGGCAUUGGUGUGCAGGACUUCCUCAGCAGGCCCCGCAGGAGCCCACCACAGCCCUUCCACAGCAGGAGCCUGGGGCUGAGCCAUCACCUGAAGGGCUAUGGGAAGUUCAACACCGACACGCACUCCUGCCGUGGCAUCCAGAGCCGGCCCUGCCAGAAGCCCUCAGACUGCGGCGGCUGCCUGGGCCUCUACACCUGCAGGCCGCCCGGCACCUGCGGCCUGAAGGCCGUCUCCCGGCAGAGAGGGGGGUUCCUGCAGAGCAUCCAGGGGCAUGCCAUCCUGGAGCAACGCAGCUAA